CGUCUCCUGCAGUGUUCGAUACUGGCCUGGAAACCUCCCGACCCUAAAUCUCCACCUCGGGGUCGUUGCCUGCCGUUCGCAUUUGCGCAAAACCAUUUCGAUGGUGAGCCUGUUGCGGCGGCGGUUGACCCCACUUUUAGCUCCGGUUCGAGAGCGAAGGUUCAUGACGGCACAGGUGGGAGGCGC
rnacentral:other from 1 species